rnacentral:lncRNA from 1 species
GUUAGGAUUAUGAUUCCUACUAAAGACAAUAACCUUCAUGUCGAAUAUUUGGAUUUAAACUACAUGAGCGGAAGCUAACCUGAAUCCAUAUGUGGAAUUUGAUGAACCUCCUUUGAUGAUUGUCCUUAUAUUCUUGUGAAUUCCUUGAUCCUUCCUUCAAGAUUCUUGAAGUUGUAUGUCACCACAAAUGCCUCACAAGACUCAAAACAAUAUAUGUGAAUUGUUCACAANNNNN